AUCGCUUCUCGGCCUUAACUGGCUAAGAUCAAAGUGUAGUAUCGGUUCUCGUAAGUGUGAUAGCUUACGCCACCUUCUACGGAUCGUGGAUUGUUAUAUCAAAAGUAUUUUUGGAACACGGUCGGGGCCUCUGGAGCUUGCUCCAUCCUCCGACUGGGUUGGCCCGGUACUGCAGUACAUCCGGGAUCUGCCCGUCCCCU
rnacentral:snRNA from 1 species